rnacentral:lncRNA from 10 species
UUCUUUUCUAAUCUGAGAAACUCCAAGGAGGUGGGGCCCGCGAGACACAACAGGCAGGCUAAAUUGUGCGGUUAACGGUCAAAGCCCCCCUGCCUACUUUGACACUCAUUUAAAGAUGACAGGGAACAAUAGAGAUUUGUUCUGUGCAACCCUUUCUUGUUAUGCCGGCGACAUCAGCUCCGCACAUGAAACUGCCCGAUAUUUCAUUCCACCUGCCACCUCCCUCCCGCCUCGGUCGACUCUCUCCUCUGCUACUUUGCUUGUCCCCACUUUAACACAAAGAGACAGAGACAAGAGAUUCGACUGUGUUAGCCAGGAUGGUCUCGAUCUCCUGACUUCGUGAUCUGCCCGCCUCAGCCUCCCAAAGUGCUGGGAUUACAGGCUUGAGCCACUGUGCCUGGCUUCAGGCUGGGAUUUUUAUAGCUUAUUAUGGCAAGGGAGGAGACGGAGAGUAAAAGAAGAAGGAAGAGCAUACACAGUCACCCCUUGUGUGACAAAUAUGCAAGAAAUAAAGAUAAAUGUGUACAAUUCUUACAAUUUUACUUUUCUGAAUUUUGCUAUUGCACUGAAUGAUUUGUGAUAAGACAGAUGGGGAUGAAAAAUAUACUUAUUAAAUAAACAGCUAUUAAAAGCCCCUAAAACUCUUUAAAAUGGGAUCUUUUUGUUUGAUUACAGAAGAAUUACACCUUUAUUUUAGACAUUCUGGAAAAAAUGCAACAAAGAGAAUAAAAAUCAUUCAUAAUCCCACUGCUCAGAAAUUACCACUGCUGGCCAGGCGUGGUGGCUAACGCCUGAAUCCCAGCAA